UUUAUUAUAGAAUUUUAUAUUUUAGUUAAAAAGCUAAAAUUUUAUUAAAAGACGAGAAGACCCUAUAAAUCUUUAUAUUUUAUAUUAUUUAAAUUUUUUAGAUUUAUUUUAUUUUUAUAGUAUGAAAUAUUUUGUUGGGGUGAUAUUAAAAUUUAAUGAACUUUUAAUUAUUUAAAAUCAUUAAUUUAUGACUUAUUGAUCCAUUAAUAUUGAUUAUAAGAUUAAGUUACUUUAGGGAUAACAGCGUAAUUUUUUUUGAGAGUUCAUAUCGACAAAAAAGUUUGCGACCUCGAUGUUGGAUUAAGGUAUAAUUUUGGGUGUAGCUGUUCAAAUAUUAAGUCUGUUCGACUUUUAAAUCCUUACAUGAUC
rnacentral:rRNA from 1 species